UAGCUCAGUGGUAGAGUGCUUGCCUCGCAUGCAUGAGACCCUGGGUUCAAUCCUCAG
rnacentral:tRNA from 1 species